GACGAACGCUGGCGGCGUGCCUAACACAUGCAAGUCGAACGGGGCAGCAAUGCCCAGUGGCGAACGGGUGCGUAACACGUGAGGAACUUGUCCAUCGGCGGGGGAUAGCCGGCCCAACGGCCGGGUAAUACCGCGUACGUCGGCGAGACCGCAUGGUCUUGCCGGGAAAGCAGCAAUGCACCGAUGGAGAGCCUCGCGGCCUAUCAGCUAGUUGGUGAGGUAAUGGCUCACCAAGGCGACGACGGGUAGCUGGUCUGAGAGGAUGAUCAGCCACAUUGGGACUGAGACACGGCCCAGACUCCUACGGGAGGCAGCAGUGGGGAAUAUUGCGCAAUGGGCGAAAGCCUGACGCAGCGACGCCGCGUGUGGGAUGACGGCCUCGGUUGUAAC
rnacentral:rRNA from 1 species